CCUACGGGUGGCAGCAGUCGGGAAUAUUGCGCAAUGGAGGAAACUCUGACGCAGUGACGCCGCGUGCAGGAAGAAGGUUUUCGGAUUGUAAACUGCUUUAGACAGGGAAGAAAAAAGACAGUACCUGUAGAAUAAGCUCCGGCUAACUACGUGCCAGCAGCCGCGGUAAUACGGAGGGAGCAAGCGUUAUCCGGAUUUAUUGGGUGUAAAGGGUGCGUAGACGGAGAAGCAAGUUAGUUGUGAAAUCCCUCGGCUUAACUGAGGAACUGCAACUAAAACUACUUCCCUUGAGUACUGGAGAGGAAAGUGGAAUGCGCAGUGUAGCGGUGAAAUGCUUAGAUAUUGCGCAGAACUCCGAUUGCGAAGGUAGCAUACCGGCGGCGAUCUGACGCUGAGGCACGAAAGCGUGGGUAUCGAACAGGAUUAGAUACCCCAGUAGUC
rnacentral:rRNA from 1 species